GAUGAACGCUGGCGGCGUGCCUAAUACAUGCGAGUCGAGCGAACAGACGAGGAGCUUGCUCCUCUGACGUUAGCGGCGGACGGGUGAGUAACACGUGGAUAACCUACCUAUAAGACUGGGAUAACUUCGGGAAACCGGAGCUAAUACCGGAUAAUAUAUUGAACCGCAUGGUUCAAUAGUGAAAGACGGUUUUGCUGUCACUUAUAGAUGGAUCCGCGCCGCAUUAGCUAGUUGGUAAGGUAACGGCUUACCAAGGCAACGAUGCGUAGCCGACCUGAGAGGGUGAUCGGCCACACUGGAACUGAGACACGAUCCAGACUCCUACGGGAGGCAGCAGUAGGGAAUCUUCCGCAAUGGGCGAAAGCCUGACGGAGCACCGCCGCGUGAGUGAUGAAGGUCUUCGGAUCGUAAAACUCUGUUAUUAGGGAAGAACAAAUGUGUAAGUAACUAUGCACGUCUUGACGGUACCUAAUCAGAAAGCCACGGCUAACUACGUG
rnacentral:rRNA from 1 species